UGUGUGGAGUUUGCAUGGUCUUUCUGAGUUCAUGUAUGUUCCCGUGUAUUUCCUCCGGUUUGUUUUGUCUUCCACACUGACACUUGUCUUCUAUCAUGAAGUCACUUUGAAGUAAGUGAAAAAGGGGAAAAAAAUUAAAAGGAGAAGAAGACAUGAUGAGCAAGAUCUGAAGUUGUUUUCUCAGGUCAUCAUGAAAAGGCUCCAGUUGUUCUAACUGUCUGACAACAUUGUUAAAGGACCCCUGCAGAGGAACACUUUGUUAAAGAUGGUGUCCAGAGGGCAGUCCAGGACAGAGCCAGCUCUCCUGACCAG